GAUGAACGCUGACAGAAUGCUUAACACAUGCAAGUCUACUUGAAUUUGGGUUUUUAACUUAGGUUUGGGUGGCGGACGGGUGAGUAACGCGUAAAGAACUUGCCUCACAGCUAGGGACAACAUUUAGAAAUGAAUGCUAAUACCUAAUAUUAUGAUAAUAGGGCAUCCUAUAAUUAUGAAAGCUAUAUGCGCUGUGAGAGAGCUUUGCGUCCUAUUAGCUAGUUGGUAAGGUAAAGGCUUACCAAGGCGAUGAUAGGUAGCCGGCCUGAGAGGGUGGACGGCCACAAGGGGACUGAGAUACGGCCCUUACUCCUACGGGAGGCAGCAGUGGGGAAUAUUGGACAAUGGAGGAAACUCUGGUCCAGCAAUUCUGUGUGUGUGAAGAAGGUCUUCGGAUUGUAAAACACUUUUAGUUGGGAAGAAACAAAUGACGGUACCAAC
rnacentral:rRNA from 1 species